rnacentral:lncRNA from 1 species
CUUCAGAUGGGUAAACAACUCAAAGAACAGAUGGACGAAUAAAUGUCAAAGAAACUAUGAUCGUGUAAAUGUUCCGAGUAACCAGAUCACAGAAGAGGAGACAUAAUUUAAGGAUAUUGGCACAUCAGCCUCUUCUGUGCUGCUCCGUUCCAUCAUUGUCAAAGCUUUCCAUGCAAGAUCUAUGCAUUGUUAACAGAAGGGCCAGAUGCUCUUCUCGCACACAAGGACAUGGACACUUUAGGAGGCUCUUCUGCACAUCUGGGCACAGAGCACGGAGCCCUUGCAGUUUUCAUGUGUAUCUGCCUUGGCUGAUCAACCCGUCCCUCCUACACAGUGACUGUGCUGCAGGCUGGGCCAGGCAUCCCAGGAAAAGAGCAUUACACGGGGCUCCAGGAGGGAACAUGCACACAACAAAAGCCACCCCCUCCACGUAAUCAGAUCCAUCUCUACCCCUUGGGGGCCUAGUGGCAGUUGAAUGUGCUCAGAGAUAAAUCACUUGCAGAACCUCCAGAAACAAAUAGUUCAGAUUGAAAAUAGCUACUAAGGUUUCACCUCCUUGAAUGUUUGUCUCUUCAUUUCAGCUUUUAGUUUUGCAGAAAAGAGGCUUAUAAUUGUUUUGAGGGCCAUUCCUUAGCUGUGGCAUUUGUUUCUGUUUCUAAGUAAUGUGACUACUCACAGGUUUGCCUUAAAAAUCAGUGUAUGCACUUACCCUACUCUCCCCAUGCAAACACCAGAAGUCAGCCAGUGAGUCGAUGGGUUUUACAUGGAGACGGAGAUGGAUAGAUAGCUAAAUGAUAGGUGAAGAAUAGAUUCCCCCCA